rnacentral:rRNA from 1 species
UCUGAAUGUUAGUGAUGUCUGAGUACUAUAUAAUAGUUAAAACUUUCAACAACGGAUCUCUUGGUUCUGGCAUCGAUGAAGAACGCAGCGAAAUGCGAUAAGUAAUGUGAAUUGCAGAAUUCAGUGAAUCAUCGAAUCUUUGAACGCACAUUGCGCCCGGUGGUAUUCCGCCGGGCAUGCCUGUUCGAGCGUCAUUAUAACCAAUCAUGCCUGGCAUGGUGUUGGGGCACGCGGUCUCGCGGCCCUCAAAAUCAGUGGCGGCGCCGGUAGGCUCUAAGCGUAGUAAUUCUUCUCGCUACAGGGUCCUGCGGGUGGCUUGCCAGAACCCCCCAUUUUUUCAGGUUGACCUCGGAUCAGGUAGGGAUACCCGCUGAACUUAAGCAUAUCAAUAAGCGGAGGAAAAGAAACCAACAGGGAUUACCUCAGUAACGGCGAGUGAAGCGGUAACAGCUCAAAUUUGAAAGCUCCCCACAGGGCGCAUUGUAAUUUGUAGAGGAUGCUUUGGGGGUCGGCCCGGUUUAAGUUCCUUGGAACAGGACGUCAUAGAGGGUGAGAAUCCCGUAUGUGACCGGUGCUAGCCUUCGUGUAAAGCUCCUUCGACGAGUCGAGUUGUUUGGGAAUGCAGCUCAAAAUGGGUGGUAUAUUUCAUCUAAAGCUAAAUAUUGGCCAGAGACCGAUAGCGCACAAGUAGAGUGAUCGAAAGAUGAAAAGCACUUUGGAAAGAGAGUUAAACAGUACGUGAAAUUGUUGAAAGGGAAGCGCUUGCAAUCAGACUUGCGGGCGGUCGAUCAUCCGAGCUUCUGCCCGGUGCACUCGA